CAUAAUUACAUUUCAAACGCAGCCGCGACAAAAUAUUGUGACUUCAAUGCGGUCUCUCGUGCGAGGCUUUCGUGUCUUCUCGCACGGGGGCGUUUUUUCUGCUGAUGGGGGCUUAAAGGGCGAUAAAGCGUCGUGAUAUCCCGUACUUACAUGCGUUAGCUGGUGAACGGCAGAUGUCAGCUCCGAGUGGAACUCAGAUGCGUGGGCUGUAUCGCGGCCUGCUUCGCUACGGCCAGACUCUGCAGCUCACUGACAAGGGCUACUUCUAUCGGAGGGUGCGCAGCGAGUUUGACAAGUCCCGGCACGUCGAAAGCACAGAGCAGCGACGCUUCCUGUUUGAGAAGGGCCACUCCGUGCUGAGCCGGCGCCGGCUGGUCUGAG